rnacentral:rRNA from 1 species
GUGGGGAAUCUUCCGCAAUGGACGAAAGUCUGACGGAGCAACGCCGCGUGAAUGAAGAAGGCCUUCGGGUUGUAAAAUUCUUUGACGAGGGAAGAUAAUGACGGUACCUCGAAAACAAGCUCCGGCUAACUACGUGCCAGCAGCCGCGGUAAUACGUAGGUGGCAAGCGUUGUCCGGAAUUACUGGGUGUAAAGGGCGUGUAGGCGGAACUACAAGUCAGGGGUGAAAACUAUGGGCUUAACCCAUAGCCUGCCUUUGAAACUGUAGUCCUUGAGUGCUGGAGAGGCAAUUGGAAUUCCUAGUGUAGCGGUGAAAUGCGUAGAUAUUAGGAGGAACACCAGUGGCGAAGGCGAAUUGCUGGACAGUAACUGACGCUGAGGCGCGAAAGCGUGGGGAGCAAACAGGAUUAGAAACCCCUGUAGUCC